GUAGUCUGCAACUCGACUACAUGAAGCUGGAAUCGCUAGUAAUCGCGAAUCAGAAUGUCGCGGUGAAUACGUUCCCGGGUCUUGUACACACCGCCCGUCACACCAUGGGAGUCAGUAACGCCCGAAGUCGGCUAGGAAAUAGGCUGCCUAAGGUGAAACCAAUGACUGGGGUGAAGUCGUAACAAGGUAGC
rnacentral:rRNA from 1 species